rnacentral:rRNA from 1 species
UACGUAGGGGGCGAGCGUUAUCCGGAUUUAUUGGGCGUAAAGCGUGUGUAGGUGGUUUAUUAAGUAUAAAAUUAAAGCCCGAGGCUUAACCUCGGUUCGUUUUAUAAACUGGUAGACUUGAGUAUGGUAGAGGCAAAUGGAAUUUCUAGUGUAGCGGUAGAAUGCGUAGAUAUUAGAAGGAACACCAGUGGCGAAAGCGAUUUGCUGGGCCAUUACUGACACUGAGACACGAAAGCGUGGGGAGCAAAUAGGAUUAGAUACCCUAGUAGUCCACGCCGUAAACGAUGAGUACUAAGUGUUGGGGUUUCCCAGUGCUGAAGUUAACACAUUAAGUACUCCGCCUGAGUAGUACGGUCGCAAGGCUGAA